GACUUCAGCAGAAAAAAAAAUCACCUCAUUAAAGGAAAAUUGUGCCUUAUCCCCACUACUCGAAGAUGCAACCAUCUGCCUGGUCACAGCCACUUUUUUCCUUUUUUUCUCACUCCAUCGUAUGUGUGUGUGGUGGGGCAGGGGAUAAGGGGAAUAAUCUCUCUCCAGUAUAAGAAGUGUGUGGCCCUUUACAGGGGGUCCCAGAGAGCCUUCUUUCUGCUAUGCGAGGAUACAAGAGGAAUUCAACAAUCUGCAAUCUGGAAGAUAACCCUCCCAGAACCCAAUCAUGCUGGCACCCUGAUUUUGAACUUUCAGCCUCCAGAACUGUGAGACAUCAAUGUAUUUUGUUUUUGCAGUUUUUUAUGAAGUUGAACAUACACAUAUCCUAAGAGCCAGUUAUUUCGAUCUUCUUUAUCAAAGGGAAAUAAAAACAUAUUUCUUCAAAAA
rnacentral:lncRNA from 10 species